UUUCCGUAGGUGAACCUGCGGAAGGAUCAUCCAUAAUAAAGUGUUUUAUGGCACUUUUUAAAAAUCCAUAUCCACCUUGUGUGCAAUGUUAGAUCUCGUCAAUCUUGGCGAGAUUUUUAUACAUCAACUCAUCCUUUAACUAAUUUGUCUGAAAAAUAUUAUGAAUACUUAAUUCAAAAUACAACUUUCAACAACGGAUCUCUUGGCUCUC
rnacentral:misc_RNA from 1 species